rnacentral:rRNA from 1 species
GCACAAGCGGCGGAGCAUGCGGAUUAAUUCGAUGCAACGCGAAGAACCUUACCAAGGCUUGACAUACACCGGUAACGCCCAGAGAUGGGUGCCCCUUUGUGGUCGGUGGACAGGUGGUGCAUGGUUGUCGUCAGCUCGUGUCGUGAGAUGUUGGGUUAAGUCCCGCAACGAGCGCAACCCCUACGUUUAGUUGCUAACAGGUGAAGCUGAGCACUCUAGACGAACUGCCGUUGACAAAACGGAGGAAGUGGGGAUGACGUCAAAUCAUCAUGCCCCUUACGUUCUGGGCUACACACGUGCUACAAUGGCCGGUACAGACGGAGGCGAAGCCGCGAGGCGGAGCAAAUCCGAAAAAGCCGGUCUCAGUUCGGAUUGCAGGCUGCAAUUCGCCUGCAUGAAGUCGGAAUCGCUAGUAAUCGCAGGUCAGCAUACUGCGGUGAAUACGUUCCCGGGCCUU